rnacentral:rRNA from 1 species
GAUGAACGCUGACAGAAUGCUUAACACAUCAGCAAUUGAUUGGUGGCGGACGGGUGAGUAACGCGUAAAGAACUUGCCUCACAGGUAGGGACAACAUUUGGAAACGAAUGCUAAUACCUAAUACUGUGAGAGAGCUUUGCGUCCCAUUAGCUAGUUGGGGAGGUAACGGCUCACCAAGGCGAUGAUGGGUCGCCGGCCUGAGAGGGUGAUCGGGCACAAGGGGACUGAGACACGGGCCUUACUGCUACGGGAGGCAGCGGUGAAGGAUAGAUGACAAUGGACCAAAGUCUGAGCCAGGAAUUCUGUGUGCACGAUGAAGUUUUCGGAAUGGAAAGUGCAUUCAGUUGGGAAGCGGUACCAACAGAAGAAGUGACGGCUAAAUACGUGCCAGCAGCCGCGGUAAUAC